rfam:Rhodococcus pyridinivorans SB3094, complete genome.
AAGCACCCGAUGCCGACAGGUAUCGGGUGUGAGAGGGAACCCGGUGGGAAUCCGGGACUGUCCCGCAGCGGUAUGCAGGAACGACCGCCGUCACCAAGCACUGGACCACCAGGUCCGGGAAGCGACGGCCACUAGGUCCAUCCCGACGGAAUCGGGAAUGGGUGCCUGCGAGUCCGAAGACCUGCCGAUCGUGUCGGGCACGC